rnacentral:tRNA from 1 species
CAGGGAGACAACAAAAUGUUUAAUAUUAUUAUUUUGUCACCUUAGGUCGAUCGGUAUCUCACGUUCUUAAUUUGUUAAGAAUUUCAUUUCCUAAGUUUUUCUAGGUCACACCCAUAUUUUUCCUGGGCCAUUAGCUCAGGUGGUUAGAGCGCACCCCUGAUAAGGGUGAGGUCCCUGGUUCAAGUCCAGGAUGGCCCAUAUCUCUAUGUUGGGGGUAUAGCUCAGUUGGUAGAGCGCCUGCUUUGCAAGCAGGAUGUCAGCGGUUCGAGUCCGCUUACCUCCACUGAUUACCACCUCUUCCAUAACCGGUAGAAGGGAAAUGUUUUGAGUUGUGAUCAUUAUUCUGAACGAAUCUAGCUUCCUAAUGAAAUCAUUAAGAUGCUGGACUCAUUGAAUUAAUUUCAUUGUUUUCAGAGAACCUUGACAACUGCAUAGAUUAUUUUUAAAGACAAUAAGCAUCUUUAAUGAUGCAGAUUUUUUAUUUGUGCGAAUGCAUUAAUAACAAUUCUAUUAAGCUGAUGCUUCAAUUUUUGAAGUUAUU